rnacentral:rRNA from 1 species
GACGAACGCUGGCGGCGUGCUUAACACGUGCAAGUCGAACGCAUCCUUCGGGGUGAGUGGCAGACGGGUGAGUAACGCGUGGGAACGUGCCCUUCAGUUCGGGAUAACCCAGGGAAACUUGGGCUAAUACCGGAUACGUGCGAGAGCAGAAAGAUUUAUCGCUGAAGGAUCGGCCCGCGUCUGAUUAGCUAGUUGGUGGGGUAAUGGCCCACCAAGGCGACGAUCAGUAGCUGGUCUGAGAGGAUGAUCAGCCACAUUGGGACUGAGACACGGCCCAAACUCCUACGGGAGGCAGCAGUGGGGAAUAUUGGACAAUGGGCGCAAGCUUGAUCCAGCCAUGCCGCGUGAGUGAUGAAGGCCUUAGGGUUGUAAAGCUCUUUCGUCCGGGACGAUAAUGACGGUACCGGAAGAAGAAGCCCCGGCUAACUUCGUGCCAGCCGCCGCCGUAA